rnacentral:rRNA from 1 species
GACAGAGGUCCCGAGCGUUAGGCGGAAUCACUGGGCUUAAAGCGUGUGUAGGCGGUGUGCUAAGUACCUUGUGAAAUCCCACGGCUCAACCGUGGAACUGCUUGGUAUACUGGUUCUCUUGAGCCACCUAGGGGCAACCGGAACAAACGGUGGAGCGGUGAAAUGCGUAGAUAUCGUUUGGAACGCCAAUGGUGAAAACAGGUUGCUGGGGGUGUGCUGACGCUGAGACACGAAAGCCAGGGGAGCAAACGGG